UACGUAGGGUGCAAGCGUUGUCCGGAAUUAUUGGGCGUAAAGAGCUCGUAGGCGGUUUGUCGCGUCUGCUGUGAAAACUCGGGGCUCAACUCCGAGCUUGCAGUGGGUACGGGCAGACUAGAGUGCGGUAGGGGAGACUGGAAUUCCUGGUGUAGCGGUGGAAUGCGCAGAUAUCAGGAGGAACACCGGUGGCGAAGGCGGGUCUCUGGGCCGUAACUGACUCUGAGGAGCGAAAGCAUGGGGAGCGAACAGG
rnacentral:rRNA from 1 species